AGCAGCUAGCUGCCUUUCAGAAAGGGGGGGGGGGGUGGGCAAAAGGAGACCCACGCCUCGGGGGCCCCCUGGCACCCCGAUGGGUCCCGUCUGAGCAGCUCGCAGAGGGGCGCGUCCCCACUCACCCGCUCCGUUGGUGCCGCUCUCCCCGGACGCCCAGCACAGCGCGAGCAGCAGCCAGAGCGCCCAGCGCGCGGACGUGCCCAUGGUGCCCGCCUGGAUGGUGCCGCCGCUCGCUCCGCACAACAAGUUACCAGCCCUUGCAAAGGAGGAAGGAGUCUCUGCAUUAAACUCAGAAAGAAAAGAAAUUCCCAGGAGACAGUGAAUCUCAAGCUGAUCCUUAGUUAUGAGCAAGAGGUCUCUGGAACUAAGAGUGAUUCAAUUAAAAAUAAAGCAGUGGAGCCCCUCCCACCGCUGCCGAGAUGUGACCCCGGGGGCCGCAUGUGCGUGCGGCUCCUCCGCAGCUGCACGAGCGUGAAUCCAGACCCAGCUGAACCAACUUCAACAUGGGCAGCUCCUUGCAGAUUGUCUCCAGCCAGAGAACUAAGCCGAGACCCCAUGCCCACCCAGGAGGGGAAAGACUGGAGCAAUAGCACAGCAGGUAGGGCAUUUGCCUUGCACACGGCCAGCCCAGGUUUUAUUCCUCCAUCCCUCUCGGAGAGCCCGGCAAGCUACCAAGAAUAUUCCACUCGCAUGGCAGAGACUGAUCAAUAGACUGUUCACCCAGGAGAGCUGCUGUGAUGAAGAGUUCAGGAAUAAUGGACAAAGAUGCAAUGCCUGAGGAUGCAGCAGACCUCUUGUCACCGGGAUGUGACAAGCACCGGAAGGAAGUUAUGCUAGGAACAGAAAGUGCAAAGGAGAAAGAGUCACAUGUCAGCAUGAUUGAGCUGCCACAUGGACACUAGCCUGCUCACCUCCCUAUUUGUUUUUACUUGAGAAAAACCAGAAUAUUUAUUGCCAUCACCGUGAACCAUAACAGAGCUGAAAGAGUUCAGACACAGAUAUGAGUGGUCCCAAGUAUACAAAAAGGAUAUUAAUGAAUCUGGUGACUGGCAGGCAUUCCAGGGUAAAGAUUACAUCAUAUACCAUCAACUUCUGGACUUUAAAAAUGAUUCUAACCUAAUCCAUUUACAUGGAAGGAUCUUCUUCAAAUUUUGUCUGAUCCUACUUUUCUGAAGCCAGAGAACUACUGAAGGAGUCAGAGCUGGAGAAAUAGUGCAGUGGAUAGGAUGAAGCAUGCCUUUGGGAAGAGCAAGAAAGGGAUGUGCUAUAUUCACUCUGGCCCUGGAUCUCCAAGCCACCUCUUCUAAAAAUGUGCUUCACUCUUUACUUUCUCUAUAAAAUCCCCUUCUUGUGACUGUGCAGGCGAGAUGGUUACUUUGGAAAAAUGCCUGCACCACCUUCCACCCUGCCAGCUGCUGCCAGUAAAGCUCAUUCUCUACCCCCUA